UGGCUCCCCAAACUCCUUGCUCCGAUCACACCACGCUAGUUCCUUCUCCGCAAUGAGUUUGGAUCUGAGUACCUCCCCACCGAUUUCUAGAACGCAAACAGAAUAUUUGAACUAUUCUGAUUGAUCCAUGAAAUCAAUGGGUUCGGCAAGAGCCAGAACAUACGUGGGUAAAGCAGCGUUUUGAAAAUUCAACAUUUUGGCUUUGAUACUCUGAUUGGUUAGAGAUGAUCCAAUCACUGAUGACUUUGUUUUGUACAACACCCCUCAUUUUGAUGUCACCACAAACGACUUUGCCGAAUGAAGUGUGUAGCAAACAGAGCAGAGGAAGAAUUCAGUUUGAGUUGUCAGGCCAUGGUUUUGAAGGUGAAUUCCUAGGAUUUUACAUGGUCUGUAUCCAGACCGCUCAUGUCCAAUCACAGGCUGAUCUUCUCUUCCUGACACAUGAGUCCAGCAUCAUCCCCACCACCCACCCACAUCUGACUGAGACCAGGGUUGUGAUUACGGGCACGAAAUGAAGGAAAAUGGUCCGAAACGGAGUGAUGCGGCAAGGAAUGUCUAUCCUUGCCCUUACAGGAAGCCAGUGCAACGGUUCCCAACUGUAAUGCUGUUACGACUUCUGCCGAAGUCGGUCCCUCUCCUUGUCCGGGCGGCGCUCGGCGGUCAACGUCGACGGUCUUCUAGCCAUCGCCGAUCCACUUUUCAGUUUCCAUUGGUUUUGUCUUUGUUUCCCACACACCUGGUUUUCAAUUCCCAAUUACUGGUCAUGUAUUUCACCCUCUGUUUCCCCCAUGUCUUUGUGUGUGAUUGUUUAUGGUUCAGGUCGGUACGUUUCCGGUUGGUUUUGUCCGGGUGCUGUUUUCACCCGUGUUUUGUGGCAACCGUUAUUGUUCGCACAUUGGUACUGUUACUUGUGCUAUUUCUUAAGUAAAGUGCGUUGUUCACUCAUCUCUGUUCUCCUGCGCCUGACUUCAUGCACCAGCUACACCCACCGCCUGACACAGGCCAGUAAUAUGGAGUGAAUGCAAUAUUGUUGAUCCCUUUGUAUUUUCAAGUAUUGUGGUGGCAGCAUCAUGUUAUGGGUAUGCUUGUCACCGGCAGAGACUGGGGAGUUUGUUAGAAUCAAAAUAAAUAUAAAAGGAGCAAAACCCAGAUAAAAUGUAUUCUGAAA
ensembl:lncRNA